GUUAAUUUUUGUAUUUUUAGUAGAGACAGGGUUUCACCAUGUUGGUCAUGCUGGUCUCGAAUUCCUGGCCUCAGGUGAUCCACCCACCUCAGCCUCCCAAAGAAUUGCUGGGAUUACAAGCGUGAGCCACCGCACCGGGCCGGAAUUUUUUUAAAAUGCCAAUACUGGUGACAGGAUUAGAGUAUAUUAACUGAUUUUACUUAGUCUUUCCAUUCCCACAUUAAUUAGUUCUCAAAAUUUAUUUGCAUGCUACAAAAGAGCUCAACAAUUUUUUUAUUACGUGCAAUUUUUUUAAUAGGAAUAAAAAAAUACGUUGUUGGCCUCAUUAUCAAGACGUCAUCUGACCCAACUUGUGUAGAGAAAGAAAAGGUGUAUAUCGGAAAAUUAAAUAUGAUCCUUGUUCAGAUACUGAAACAAGAAUGGCCCAAACAUUGGCCAACUUUUAUCAGUGAUAUUGUUGGAGCAAGUAGGACCAGCGAAAGUCUCUGUCAAAAUAAUAUGGUGAUUCUUAAACUCUUGAGUGAAGAAGUAUUUGAUUUCUCUAGUGGACAGAUAACCCAAGUCAAAUCUAAGCAUUUAAAAG
rnacentral:lncRNA from 10 species